rnacentral:rRNA from 1 species
GUCUUGUUGUUUAAAAUUAUAGCAAGUUAAUUCUGCCCAUUGAAUAAAAAAUAAAUUUUAAAAGGCUGCGGUAUAUUGACUGUACAAAGGUAGCAAAAUCAAUAGUUUUUUAAUUGAGAACUGGAAUGAAUGAAUUGAUAAAAUUUAAACUGUCUUAAAUUAAUUAAAUGAAUUUAAAUUAAAAGUUAAAAUGCUUUUAUAAUUUUAUUAGACGAUAAGACCCUAAGAAUUUAAAAAUUAAUUUUGAUAAUAAUAAUUUAUAAAUUUAUAAUUGUUAAAAAAAAUUUUUUUAUUGGGAGGGUAAUUAAAUUUUUUAACUUUAAUUUUAUUUAAACAUUGAUAAUUGGGAUAAUUUAAUGAUAAUUAUUAUAAUUAUAAGAAUAAAUUACCUUAGGGAUAACAGCGUAAUAAUUUUGGAGAGUUCAUAUUAAUAAAAUUGAUUGCGACCUCGAUGUUGAAUUAAAAUAAAAAUUAAGUGCAGAAGCUUAAAAUUUUAGUCUGUUCGACUAUUAAAAUUUUACA